CCUACGGGGGGCAGCAGUGGGGAAUAUUGGACAAUGGGGGCAACCCUGAUCCAGCCAUGCCGCGUGUGUGAAGAAGGCCCUCGGGUUGUAAAGCACUUUCAGUGAGGAAGAACGCCUGGUGGUUAAUACCCAUCAGGAAAGACAUCACUCACAGAAGAAGCACCGGCUAACUCCGUGCCAGCAGCCGCGGUAAUACGGAGGGUGCGAGCGUUAAUCGGAAUUACUGGGCGUAAAGCGCGCGUAGGUGGCUUGAUAAGCCUGUUGUGAAAGCCCCGGGCUCAACCUGGGAACGGCAUCCGGAACUGUCAAGCUAGAGUGCAGGAGAGGAAGGUGGAAUUCCCUGUGUAGCGGUGAAAUGCGUAGAGAUCGGGAGGAAUACCAGUGGCGAAGGCGGCCCUCUGGACUGACACUGACGCUGAGGUGCGAAAGCGUGGGUAGCAAACAGGAUUAGAUACCCGGGUAGUC
rnacentral:rRNA from 1 species